ACAGUGGACGCGAGCAUCUGUGGCCAAGUUUUUAAGGGCGCACGGUGGAUGCCUUGGCACCAGGAACCGAUGAAGGACGUGGGAGGCCACGAUAGUCCCCGGGGAGUCGUCAACCAGGCUUUGAUCCGGGGGUUUCCGAAUGGGGAAACCCGGCAGUCGUCAUGGGCUGUCACCCGCUGCUGAACUCAUAGGCAGUGUGGAGGGAACGCGGGGAAGUGAAACAUCUCAGUACCCGCAGGAAGAGAAAACAACCGUGAUUCCGGGAGUAGUGGCGAGCGAAACUGGAUGAGGCCAAACCGUAUGUGUGUGAUACCCGGCAGGGGUUGCGCAUGCGGGGUUGUGGGAUCUCUCUUCUACGGUCUGCCGGCCGUGGGACGAGUCAGAAACCGUUGAUGUAGGCGAAGGACAUGCGAAAGGUCCGGCGUAGAGGGUAAGACCCCCGUAGUCGAAACAUCAGCGGCUCGUUUGAGAGACACCCAAGUAGCACGGGGCCCGAGAAAUCCCGUGUGAAUCUGGCGGGACCACCCGCUAAGCCUAAAUAUUCCCUGGUGACCGAUAGCGGAUAGUACCGUGAGGGAAUGGUGAAAAGUACCGCGGGAGCGGAGUGAAAUAGUACCUGAAACCGUGUGCCUACAAGCCGUGGGAGCGUCG
rnacentral:rRNA from 1 species